AUUUUUUUUUCUUAAGUUAAGAAAAUCAUUCUUGCAUAAGAAACAGGGUCCUGUUCUGAACCUGGAAUUUCAUUUGUGUUCGAUAAAAAAAAAGCUCUCUGUCCAAAAGAAGACAAUUUCAUACAAGACCAUAAAAUGAUGUUAUUCAGCUCACAGGAUCUUCAUUGUUAUCUUAUGUUUGAUGUCAAAACAAUUCAGAAGUGGAAGGUGGAACUGAUUAUUAAAAAAGACAAGCCUAAUCCACUCUCAGCAGGGCAUGAAUCUCACUAAAUGAUGUGUACCACAUGCUGUGGUCUUCCCAGGCACCACAAUCGACCAAUUUGGAGCUACAUAGACCAGAGAUACACACAGACCAGAGAAACACCAACAUGAAUUUCAAGAAUCAUUCAAGAUCAUGAGUUUGACUCCUGAAGAUAACAAAACUGGAUGUGUCUUCAGGGUGUCAGGCCCAGCUGCACUUACGGACACAUGGAAUGAUGUCAGGGAGACUGCUGCUACUGACCAGACUGCCAAACCAUGAUUCCUGCCGCCCGCUUCUGUACGAUCCAGCAGGAAACCUCAGGAGGCAAGAAGGGAGGGGCACGGGGGGGUUUGCAUUCCAGGGGCAUGAACAGAAAAAACACUGCAUUGUAAAUAAUAUAGUUUAAAGUGCACCAUCAGCAGCCCAACCACAACCCCCAGGGUCUCUUACAUUUCAUCAUUUAU